rnacentral:rRNA from 1 species
AACGAACGCUGGCGGCAUGCCUAACACAUGCAAGUCGAACGAGACCUUCGGGUCUAGUGGCGCACGGGUGCGUAACGCGUGGGAACCUGCCCUUAGGUUCGGAAUAACUCCCCGAAAGGGGUGCUAAUACCGGAUAAUGUCUUCGGACCAAAGAUUUAUCGCCUUUGGAUGGGCCCGCGUUGGAUUAGCUAGUUGGUAGGGUAAAAGCCUACCAAGGCGACGAUCCAUAGCUGGUAUGAGAGGAUGAUCAGCCACACUGGGACUGAGACACGGCCCAGACGCCUACGGGAGGCAGCAGUGGGGAAUAUGGGACAAUGGGCGAAAGCCUGAUCCAGCAAUGCCGCGUGAGUGAUGAAGGCCUUAGGGUGGUAAAGCUCUUUUACCCGGGAUGAUAAUGACAGUACCGGGAGAAUAAGCUCCGGCUAACUCCGU